rnacentral:rRNA from 1 species
AUUGAACGCUGGCGGCAGGCCUAACACAUGCAAGUCGAGCGGAUGACGGGAGCUUGCUCCUUGAUUCAGCGGCGGACGGGUGAGUAAUGCCUAGGAAUCUGCCUGGUAGUGGGGGACAACGUUUCGAAAGGAACGCUAAUACCGCAUACGUCCUACGGGAGAAAGCAGGGGACCUUCGGGCCUUGCGCUAUCAGAUGAGCCUAGGUCGGAUUAGCUAGUAGGUGAGGUAAUGGCUCACCUAGGCGACGAUCCGUAACUGGUCUGAGAGGAUGAUCAGUCACACUGAGACUGAGACACGGGCCAGACUCCCACGGGAGGCAGCAGUGGGGAAUAUUGGACAAGGGGCGAAAGCCUGAUCCAGCCAUGCCGCGUGUGUGAAGAAGGUCUUCGGAUUGUAAAGCACUUUAAGUUGGGAGGAAGGGUUGUACGUUAAUACCGUGCAAUUUUGACGUUACCGACAGAAUAAGCACCGGCUAACUCUGUGCCAGCCGCCGCGGUAACAC